rnacentral:rRNA from 1 species
AUACGUAGGUGACAAGCGUUAUCCGGAUUUACUGGGCGUAAAGGGCGUGUAGGCGGUCUUGCAAGUCAGAAGUGAAAUUCCUGAGCUCAACUCGGGCGCUGCCUCUGAAACUGCAGGACUUGAGUGCUGGAGGGGAUAGCGGAAUUCCUAGUGGAGCGGUAAAAUGCGCAGAUAUUAGGAAGAACACCGGUGGCGAAGGCGGCUAUCUGGACAGUAACUGACGCUGAGGCGCGAAAGCGUGGGGAGCAAACAGGAUUAGAUCCCCUGGUAGUCCACGCCGUAAACGAUGAAUACUAGGUGUAGGGGGUAUCGACUCCCUCUGUGCCGCAGUUAACACAAUAAGUAUUCCGCCUGGGGAGUACGGCCGCAAGGUUGAAACUUAAAGGAAUUGACGGGG